rnacentral:tRNA from 1 species
GCAAUUAUAGUAUAAGCAAAUUACUUUACAUUUUCAUUGUAAAAAUGAACUUUAGUUCUAAUAGCU